UUCCUCUCGGCAUCACACCUGGAGAGUUUCCAGUACUCUACCGGUUACGACUAAAGGAGGGAGAGUCAAGCAGAGGCAUACCCAUUCCAUUCCCAGCUUGGCCAGCGGCUGACAAGUGGAAGGCAAUCUGCUACAAGU